rnacentral:lncRNA from 1 species
GUGGGUACCAAUAUAAACCAUUUUAAUAAAGAAAAAUCUUACAACUGUUGCACGACUGUCGUACGACAAUCCGACGACUGUCGCAAGACACUCGUCAUACAGUCGCACGAUUGUCUAACGAAUACCAAAUUUCGUACGAUGCUCGCACAACAUUGAUUAUCUGUAGUACGACAGUGGUAUGUUCGUCGUGCAACAUAUUUUUGUUUUAUUCAGAAGGAUACAAUUCGCGGGAAUGAAUGUUUGGAAAAACAUAACGUCUGCCGUUUAAAGAGGAUGACUAUUCCACCAGAACGAUUACACUUGGUUCUGCUAAAUAGGCGCAUUGCCGGACUCCAACAAGAGCAAAAUAUGGUCCUGUUAGCGUUAAUUUGAGCUCAUGAAUAGUAUAGGAACCAGCGAAACCCCCGACUUUGGUGGGUUAGGCCAUAGAUCUAACGGCGCCUUAUGUUUGGGCAGAAUAGUAUACACUGAUGCAAGAGUUGGAGCGGGAAUCUGCCGGUGAUUUCGUUGGAUUCAUGAAGAUGGAGCCUGGCAUGUUUCAAGACAGUGGCACGACAGUGACACGACAGUGACACGACAGUAACACGCGCAUCCUAUGACAUGAAAACCUGAAAAAUAUCCCAAAAAAACUCACGACUGUCGUACGACUGUCACACGACCGACUUGCGAGUUACCUACGACAGUACAAUUACAAUUCUUUUUUCUCUGUCGUGUACCCAUCAUGGACAUGUGACCACUCGAAAUGUUGUUUUUUGACAUUUUGCACGACAG